UAUUGCACAAUGGAGGAAACUCUGAUGCAGCGACGCCGCGUGAGGGAAGACGGUCUUCGGAUUGUAAACCUCUGUCUUUAGGGACGAAAAAAUGACGGUACCUAAGGAGGAAGCUCCGGCCAACUACGUGCCAGCAGCCGCGGUAAUACGUAGGGAGCGAGCGUUGUCCGGAAUUACUGGGUGUAAAGGGAGCGUAGGCGGGAAAGCAAGUUGGAAGUGAAAUGCAUGGGCUUAACCCAUGAGCUGCUUUCAAAACUGUUUUUCUUGAGUGAAGUAGAGGCAGGCGGAAUUCCUAGUGUAGCGGUGAAAUGCGUAGAUAUUAGGAGGAACACCAGUGGCGAAGGCGGCCUGCUGGGCUUUAACUGACGCUGAGGCUCGAAAGCGUGGGUAGC
rnacentral:rRNA from 1 species